UACGAAGGGGGCUAGCGUUGUUCGGAUUUACUGGGCGUAAAGCGCACGUAGGCGGAUCGUUAAGUCGGGGGUGAAAUCCUGGAGCUCAACUCCAGAACUGCCUUCGAUACUGGCGAUCUAGAGUCCGGAAGAGGUGAGUGGAACUCCUAGUGUAGAGGUGGAAUUCGUAGAUAUUAGGAAGAACACCAAGUGGCGAAGGGCGGCUCACUGGUCCGGUACUGACGCUGAGGUGCGAAAGCGUGGGGAGCAAACAGGAUU
rnacentral:rRNA from 1 species